GAUGAACGCUGGCGGCGUGCCUAAUACAUGCAAGUCGAGCGAACAGAUAAGGAGCUUGCUCCUUUGACGUUAGCGGCGGACGGGUGAGUAACACGUGGGUAACCUACCUAUAAGACUGGAAUAACUCCGGGAAACCGGGGCUAAUGCCGGAUAACAUUUAGAACCGCAUGGUUCUAAAGUGAAAGAUGGUUUUGCUAUCACUUAUAGUUGGACCCGCGCCGUAUUAGCUAGUUGGUAAGGUAACGGCUUACCAAGGCAACGAUACGUAGCCGACCUGAGAGGGUGAUCGGCCACACUGGAACUGAGACACGGUCCAGACUCCUACGGGAGGCAGCAGUAGGGAGUCUUCCGCAAUGGGCGAAAGCCUGACGGAGCAACGCCGCGUGAGUGAUGAAGGGUUUCGGCUCGUAAAACUCUGUUAUUAGGGAAGAACAAACGUGUAAGUAACUGUGCACGUCUUGACGGUACCUAAUCAGAAAGCCACGGCUAACUACGUGCCAGCCGCCGCGGUAA
rnacentral:rRNA from 1 species